rnacentral:tRNA from 1 species
GGAUACUGUGCAAUUCAGUUUGAUUUGAUUACAUAUUAAUUUACUUUUUCUUUUUAUUUAUAUUUUGG